GGUUAGGUGAAUAAGCGUACACGGCGAAUGCCUAGGCAGUCAGAGGCGAUGAAGGACGUAUUAAUCUGCGAAAAGCGUCGGUAAGCUGAUAUAAAGCGCUAUCAGCCGACGAUCUCCGAAUGGGACAACCCGAUGUAAUUCAUUACAUCAUCGUCAGAUAAAUUCAUAGUCUGACGAAGCAAACCAGGGGAACUGAAACAUCUAAGUACCCUGAGGAAAAGAAAUCAACAGAGAUUCCCCUAGUAGUGGCGAGCGAAAAGGGAACAGUCUAGAGCCACCACCAGCUUGAGUAUCAGAAAAACGGUCUGGAAAGUCCGGCAAAAAAGGGUGAUAGCCCCGUAUUCAAAAAUACACCUGCUGUGAGCUCAAAAAGUAAGACGGGACACGUGAUAUCCUGUCUGAAGAUGGGGGGACCAUCCUCCAAGACUAAAUACUCCUGACUGACCGAUAGUGAACUAGUACCGUGAGGGAAAGGUGAAAAGAACCCCGGCAAGGGGAGUGAAAUAGAACCUGAAACCGUGUACGUACAAGCAGUAGGAGCAUCAUUAAUGAUGUGACUGCGUACCUUUUGUAUAAUGGGUCAGCGACUUAUAUUCUGUAGCAAGGUUAACCGUAUAGGGGAGCCGUAGGGAAACCGAGUCUUAACUGGGCGUUAAGUUGCAGGGUAUAGACCCGAAACCCGGUGAUCUAGCCAUGAGCAGGUUGAAGGUUGGGUAACACUAACUGGAGGACCGAACCGACUAAUGUUGAAAAAUUAGCGGAUGACUUGUGGCUAGGGGUGAAAGACCAAUCAAACCGGGAGAUAGCUGGUUCUCCCCGAAAGCUAUUUAGGUAGCGCCUCGUGAAUUCAUCUGUGGGGGUAGAGCACUGUUUCGGCUAGAGGUCCACACCGGAUUAUCAAACCGAUGCAAACUACGAAUACCGUAGAAUGUUAUCACGGGAGACACACGGCGGGUGCUAACGUCCGUCGUGAAGAGGGAAACAACCCAGACCGCCAGCUAAGGUCCCAAAGUCAUGAUUAAGUGGGAAACGAUGUGGGAAAGCUCAGACAACCAGGAUGUUGGCUUAGAAGCAGCCAUCAUUUAAAGAAAGCGUAAUAGCUCACUGGUCGAGUUAGCCUGCGCGGAAGAUGUAACGGGGCUAAAUCAUGCACCAAAGCUGCGGCAGCGGACAUAUCACUUAAGGUAAUUUAAAACAUUAUUAAUAGUUAACUUAAGGAUAUGUCCGUUGGGUAGGGGAGCGUUCUGUAAGCCUGCGAAGGUAUGCUGUGAGGCGUACUGGAGGUAUCAGAAGUGCGAAUGCUGACAUAAGUAACGAUAAAGCGGGUGAAAAACCCGCUCGCCGAAAGACCAAGGGUUCCUGUUCAACGUUAAUCGGAGCAGGGUAAGUCGACCCCUAAGGCGAGGCCGAAAGGCGUAGUCAAUGGAAAACAGGUUAAUAGUCCUGUACUCGAUGUAACUGCGAAGGGGGGACGGAGAAAGCUAUGUUCGCCGGGCGACGGUCGUCCCGGUUUAAACGUGAAGGUGAAAAAGUAGGAAAAUCCGCUUUUUUUAACACUCAGGCGUGAAAACGAGCUACUACGGUAGCGAAGGAAUUUAUGCUAUGCUCCCAAGAAAAGCCUCUAAGCUACAGGUUACAUUGAAUCGUACCCCAAACCAACACAGGUGGUCAGGUAGAGAAUACUCAGGCGCUUGAGAGAACUCGGGUGAAGGAACUAGGCAAAAUAGUGCCGUAACUUCGGGAGAAGGCACGCUGGCAUGUAAGUAACGGGACAAUGCUCCCAUAGCUGAAGCCAGUCGCAGAUACCAGCUGGCUGCAACUGUUUAUUAAAAACACAGCACUGUGCAAACACGAAAGUGGACGUAUACGGUGUGACGCCUGCCCGGUGCCGGAAGGUUAAUUGAUAGGGUUAUCUUUAGGAAAAGCUCUUGAUCGAAGCCCCGGUAAACGGCGGCCGUAACUAUAACGGUCCUAAGGUAGCGAAAUUCCUUGUCGGGUAAGUUCCGACCUGCACGAAUGGCGUAAUGAUGGCCAGGCUGUCUCCACCCGAGACUCAGUGAAAUUGAAAUCGCCGUGAAGAUGCGGCGUACCCGCGGCAAGACGGAAAGACCCCGUGAACCUUUACUAUAGCUUGAUACUGAACAUUAAGCACUAAUGUGUAGGAUAGGUGGGAGGCUUUGAAAUGCAAACGCCAGUUUGCAUGGAGCCAACCUUGAAAUACCACCCUUUAUUGUUUUAUGUUCUCACUUAGACCCGUUAUCCGGGUCAAGGACAGUGUCUGGUGGGUAGUUUGACUGGGGCGGUCUCCUCCUAAAGAGUAACGGAGGAGCACUAAGGUUAGCUAAUCACGGUCGGAUAUCGUGAGGUUAGUGCAAAGGCAUAAGCUAGCUUGACUGCGAGAGUGACGGCUCAAGCAGGUGCGAAAGCAGGUCUUAGUGAUCCGGUGGUUCUGUAUGGAAGGGCCAUCGCUCAACGGAUAAAAGGUACUCCGGGGAUAACAGGCUGAUACCGCCCAAGAGUUCAUAUCGACGGCGGUGUUUGGCACCUCGAUGUCGGCUCAUCACAUCCUGGGGCUGCAGUAGGUCCCAAAGGUAUGGCUGUU
rnacentral:rRNA from 1 species